CUCAUUCGCACAUGCUUGUGAGGGUCGCUCCCUACAAGCCGGCACUCCGGAGUUAGCCUACGCGACUUAUGUUCGCUCGUGCGGUAUUGAGAAGCCUACGGGGUCGAGUGGGACAGACACAUUCCAAGAGCAGGAAUGUUGGGCUACCACAGGCACUUAGGCGGCACAAGCCGGACUACACCUGUGUAGAUCCUGAUUGAGAUUGAACCAGAAUAUUAAACAACAAGUUGACAUUCGCUACUAGCUAGGUUAUAGUAGUUGGACUCUUGAUAUGCUAUGGCAUAGAGUUGG
rnacentral:lncRNA from 1 species